rnacentral:rRNA from 1 species
GACGAACGCUGGCGGCGUGCCUAAUACAUGCAAGUUGAGCGCUGAAGGUUGGUACUUGUACCGACUGGAUGAGCAGCGAACGGGUGAGUAACGCGUGGGGAAUCUGCCUUUGAGCGGGGGACAACAUUUGGAAACGACUGCUAAUACCGCAUAAAAACUUUAAACACAAGUUUUAAGUUUGAAAGAUGCAAUUGCAUCACUCAAAGAUGAUCCCGCGUUGUAUUAGCUAGUUGGUUAGGUAAAGGCUCACCAAGGCGAUGAUACAUAGCCGACCUGAGAGGGUGAUCGGCCACAUUGGGACUGAGACACGGCCCAAACUCCUACGGGAGGCAGCAGUAGGGAAUCUUCGGCAAUGGACGAAAGUCUGACCGAGCAAAGCCGCGUGAGUGAAGAAGGUUUUCGGAUCGUAAAACUCUGUUGGUAGAGAAGAACGUUGGUGAGAGUGGAAAGCUCAUCAAGUGACGGUAACUACCCAGAAAGGGACGGCUAACUACGUG